UGAGGAAUCUUCCACAAUGGGGGCAACCCUGAUGGAGCGACACCGCGUGAAGGAAGAAGAUCUAACGAUUGUAAACUUCUUUUCUGGAGGAGCAUAAUGAGAGUACUUCAGGAAUAAGGGACGGCAAAAUACGUGCCAGCAGCCGCGGUAAUACGUAUGUCUCGAGCGUUAUCCGGAAUUACUGGGUGUAAAGGGUUUGUAGGCGGAUAAUUAAGUAGGGUAUGAAAGACCGGAGCUCAACUCCGAGUUUGUAUUCUAAACUGGUUGACUAGAGUUAGGGAGAGGUAAGCGGAAUUUUAAGUGUAGGGGUGCAAUCCGUAGAUACUUAGAAGAACACCAAAAGCGAAGGCAGCUUACUGGAACUAUACUGACGCUGAUAAACGAAAGCGUGGGGAGCAAA
rnacentral:rRNA from 1 species